CCUACGGGAGGCAGCAGUGGGGAAUUUUGGACAAUGGGCGAAAGCCUGAUCCAGCAAUGCCGCGUGAGUGAAGAAGGCCUUCGGGUUGUAAAGCUCUUUUGUCAGGGAAGAAACGGUGCGGGCUAAUAUCCUGCACUAAUGACGGUACCUGAAGAAUAAGCACCGGCUAACUACGUGCCAGCAGCCGCGGUAAUACGUAGGGUGCAAGCGUUAAUCGGAAUUACUGGGCGUAAAGCGUGCGCAGGCGGUUUUGUAAGUCUGUCGUGAAAUCCCCGGGCUCAACCUGGGAAUUGCGAUGGAGACUGCAAGGCUAGAAUCUGGCAGAGGGGGGUAGAAUUCCACGUGUAGCAGUGAAAUGCGUAGAGAUGUGGAGGAACACCGAUGGCGAAGGCAGCCCCCUGGGUCAAGAUUGACGCUCAUGCACGAAAGCGUAGGGAGCAAACAGGAUUAGAUACCCUGGUAGUCCACGCCCUAAACGAUGUCUACUAGUUGUACGGGUUUUAAAUUACUUGGUAACGCAGCUAACGCGUAGAAGUAGACCGCCGUGGGGAGUACGGUCGCGAAGAUUAAACCGUCGAAAGGAUUGACGGCGUGAGACGUGCGACGGACGACGACGAGGGAGGAGG
rnacentral:rRNA from 1 species